AGACCACAAAGCACAAACUGUUUGACACGCAAAUAACUAAGCACAAAUCAGUUCCACUCCGGGCAGAAGCAACGCCUGUGUCUCAUGUUCACUGUGAGGAUCUUCUGAGUGAAGCCAACAGAAGGAAAACCUCAUCUGAUUGUGAAGAAGGAGACUGAAUGGACGACAUCCUCAGUGAACCACUUCCUGUUUAGCUUUCACUCACAGAAGAAACAGACCAACUCUUUCAGCAGUGUAUUAUUCUCUGUUCUUAGUAUUCACAGGUUCCAUUUAUCACCUUUAACUUCAUCUCUGCUGUUGUAGCAUAAUGAUAAUACAGAGUACAUGUUGCCAUUAUUUAUAGCAGAUAUGCUGCAUUAAAACAUCAGCACAUUCAGAACAGAAGCUUCAUUAAAUACAUAUAAUGAAUGUAUGAAAUAAUGUGUUGCUGACAGUGAAGCGUAAAUACUGAACAGUCACAAGACAACUUGUAUUAUGAAGAGAGGAGCUGAAUCUGCAGUAUUAUUGUUAUUACUGGAAGGAUGAGGAGGACAUAGUGCUGCUCUUCCUCACAGUGAUGAAGGAGAAAAGACUCUUCAGACAACCACAGCUGGAUGGUCAUGUUCUCUGUAGCUCUCAGUCCAUCAGACCAGAUGUUCCCAAUAACCCAGACCAAAGCUGGAAGGAAAAGACACUAACAGUGAGGAAAAGAUCUACAAGAUUCUUUCAUUCUAACUGCUGGAACGUUAAAUAUCAGAGUGAACACAUCAGCAUAUGAGUGGAACACAAUAGAGUGUUGUAUUUUUUUUUUUUUUUAAAGCGGGCAAGUUGGUCCAUCACUCUGAGCUGCCCAGUUGCUUAGGCAUCAGAUUGGGCUUAAAAUGUCUCUUUGCUGCCGCUGGAUCAUAUUUAUUUGGGGUUAUUCCAUCUGAUGGUUGUCCACUUUGAAAAUACCUGCGAUGUAAAGCUGUGUACUUCACAUCAGACUCAAGUCUUGCCUGUAGGGCAGCACACAGGUUGGCUAGCUCCUGGCUGCAGAAGAAUGGCGGUUGCAUUAUCCACCCACACACCCCGUCAAUGCUGCCAUCCUUCUCAUCUGACAUCAUGUCAGUGGUGAUGCCCCUCCACAACUCCAUUUCAUCUGAAGCAAGUACUGUCUUCCUUGGAUCCAGUUGCUGUGAACACAGUCAGUACAGGAACUCAAUAUCAAUACAUUCACUAAUCUAUC
ensembl:lncRNA